UACGUAGGUGGCAAGCGUUAUCCGGAAUUAUUGGGCGUAAAGCGCACGCAGGUGGCGUAUUAAGUCUGACGUGAAAGCUCCUGGCUUAACUGGGAGAGGUCGUUGGAGACUGGUAGGCUUGAGGUGAGGAGAGGGGUGCAGAAUUCCCGGUGUAGUGGUGGAAUGCGUAGAUAUCGGGGGGAAUACCAGAGGCGAAAGCGGCACCCUGGCCUUGGCCUGACGCUCAGGUGCGAAAGCGUGGGGAGCGAACGGG
rnacentral:rRNA from 1 species